rnacentral:rRNA from 1 species
UACGUAGGUUGCGAGCGUUAAUCGGAAUUACUGGGCGUAAAGCGUGCGCAGGCGGUUUUGUAAGCCGGAUGUGAAAUCCCCGGGCUUAACCUGGGAAUGGCAUUCGGGACUGCAAGGCUGGAGUGCGGCAGAGGAGACUGGAAUUCCUGGUGUAGCAGUGAAAUGCGUAGAUAUCAGGAGGAACACCGAUGGCGAAGGCAGGUCUCUGGGCUGACACUGACGCUCAUGCACGAAAGCGCGGGGAGCAAACAGG